UGCUCUUAACUUCUAAACUAUCUCUCUGGGCCUCCUUCUAAUGUUUUGAGCAGAGAGAUACAGACUGUGUGAUAAAUUAGCUAUUCAAAACUGAAGAGGCCACACUUGGCCUCUUAGAAUCCCAGCAUUAGGGAGGUUGAGGCUAAGUUUGAGGCCACAUGUACUACACAGCAAAUCCCUGUGCCAGAAUCAACAACCAAAAUUAAGUGAAGUAAACCAAAUUUCUUUACAGAUUUAAAAAAAAAAAAAAAAGGAUAGUUAGUGAAGCUGCAGCUGGUUCCAGACUUUCCAUUUAUGCAACAAUUUCCUUAUCUGCACAGUGAAGUAGAUAAUUCUACCUGCCUCCAGAGGAAGGUGGGAUUAUGAAAUGAGAUCAUACAUCUAACUUCCAGCAAUAUGGUCCAGUGUCUGGGAUGUUGUCAGUCAAUAUGUUGUUUAUCAUUGUUCUUCUGUGCUGGGUGUGGUGCUGUAUGUCUGGUGCUUCGGAAUAUAGGAGCAUCUGGAGUUUGAGGUCGUUCUCAGCUACAUAGUGAGACUGAGCUCCUGUCUCAAUGGCCAACACCAACAGCAACAAAAUUCCUUUAUUUAGUCAUUGUGUGGCCUUAGGUUAAAGAGAAAUAAUUAUUCAGACUAUCAUCACUCUUCUCUCAUAAAUAAGAGUACAUGGGAAAACGUAGUUGAGAAUUAUGGGGAAUAUGGAGAGAGGAUGCAAAAGAGAUUAGAAAAAUAAUAUUUAUCUCCCAAGAAAUUGCUGAGGUGAUCUGUAUCAUUGAACCAUCUGUGUGGCUGGCUCUUCUGUACAGAACUAACAAAGGAGAAGUCUAUCCUGGCUCACACCUUGAACUUCUUUUCUGAGGUUCUGGUACACAAAACAGGGAUGCUGAUGGGUCUGUCUGUGGCAGGUGCCAGUCUCUGAAUGAACCAACAACAGGCACAAGAGGAAUGGGCAGUGUGAGUGGUUUCUACAUUGAUGGAGUAGGGAGCUGAACAUCCCAAGCAAUGAGUUGACCUGGAAAACUCUAACCACGGGAUAGGGGAGGCUGGGAAGUAAACAUGAUGUGUGCAGUCUCAUCAGCAGAGACGGCAAGCUGGGUUGAUUUUUCCCUGCAUCUGCAAACACAGAAGAUGGUGUUCCUUACAGAAACAUGGACAAUGUGGCUUAAAGACUCAACUACUGACCUACAAACCAAAGAGAAUAGAGAAGCAGGCAGACACAACCAUGGAUGCAUGCUCUCUGGUCACCCAGGUGUCUAUGGAUGGGUGCUAAAUUAUCUUGGGGACCCAGAAAUUCUAUGCAAGUUUGUGGGAGCAUGAGAAUCUAUAUUUUCCCAAGGAAAUGCAUGACCUUUCAUCAGAUUGUCAAAGAGCGCUGCACUCCUCCACAAAGGACUAUAAACCCCUGCUGAACCAGUGACCUAAGGUCUAUAACUAAUGCCACCCUGGGAACUUAAAGCUGAUUCAGUAAUAAAACUUUCCCAAAGACCAUAAGAAAAGGAUAAAAGGAACACCACUCUACUCAGGUAGCCCAGGUUAGCCUCCAACCUGCUAUGUCACUCAGGAUGACCUUUUACUUCUGAUCACCCUGUUUCUACCUUUCAAGCUGGGAUUACAGGCAUUACUAGCAUGUGUGGUUAUUUUAUUUUAUUUUAUUUUUUAUGUAGGGUAUGAACUUCAUGCAUGAGAGACAAGCACUCUCCCCACUGGGCUCCAUCCCCAGCCCCUAAUUGCUUCCUAAGCAGACUGUCUUAUUCUCUUUUUGUUUUGUCAAAUUCAUGUUUCUUGUUUACUGAAUAGUCUUCCUUAAAUGUGUUCACUCUUCAAACUUAAAUGCCUAUGUUAGCUACAGCCUAAGCAAGAUAUCUGUGAAACUGGGAGUAUAUUGUACUCCUGGCAUUCCCCUGCCCCUGCCCCGUUUAUAGAAGAAAAAUGCAUUGUGGUGAAAUGUGAAAAUGUGGUGUUUGUAUUGUUUCCCAGAUCAUGCAGAACACAGAGGUGGUCUUGUGGUGCUGAAAAUGGUUGAAGAUAUUCUAAGCUCCCCAUCUGGCAUCCAUUGUUCAGAGGAGGAACCUGGGGCAUGAGCCAAUUAAUGCACUUAUUAAAGAAGCUGAACAAAUAUGAGGAAAGUUAAGCCAGUUCCAAAACCUGUCCCCUAUUAUGCAGUGCAAACGAGAACAGAUGGGGAAAAGUUAUGUUGGAAAGGGCUUUGGAGGGCCACAGAGAAGAGAAAUAUGACUACUCAAUGUGUCACACACCAACUUGCAGCUGCCACCAGCCCUUCCCCACACGAGCUGCGUAUGGAAGCAGCCCGUGGAGCUCAGAAGGAGCAGGCGCACUGCAGGAAGGGGGUGCAAUUAGAGAACAUUGGCUGCGCUUGUGCUGCCUUGAAAAUAGGAAUCAAGAGUGGUGCAGCAGCUCAGCCAACAAAAGAGAGUCAACCCCAAGGCUAGCCUGCAAAAUGCUGAGCUGCACCCCGAGCAAUCCCAAACGUGAACUGGGAAUUGGCACAAUGCAGCCUAUCUCUACCAAAGAAAUGCCCCUGCAUGUCUCAACGCCACCAUUCAGGACUCUCUGCAUCUAGGACUUUUUCGAGAAAGGUCAUAUUGGCUCACAUGCCUGAUGUGGCCUUCCACAACCCCUCCAAAACCAAGAGAAAAGGUUCAUGUGGCUUCGAUGAUUUGAUUCAACUAGUGAAUGACUAAGGCCACAGAAAUAGCAUCUCUGAAGAAAUCCUAAUGCUGCAAACACUUGGACAAUUGACUCCAGCGGGAACCUCCUCUGAAACUGUACCUCUCAGUGUAGAGCGAGUGUGCAAAUAUUUGGUGUCAUUUUGAUAAAGAGAUGAUUUUUUUUUAACAGGGGCAUUUAAAAUGCAGUUAGUUACCCAAGCCUGCCUCAGAGUAUUUUUUCAGCAUAUCUAGAGUAAAGCUGGGAUCCACAGUUAAAAUAAAAAUGAUUUGGCCAACAGGAUGGCAGAGGCAGUAAAAGUGCCUGCCGCCAAGCCCUAAAACCUACCUGGGUUCAAUCCUUGGACCCACUGAGUGGAAAGAGAGACCUGGCUUCUGUGAGUUGCUCUCUGACCUCUACACAUGUGCACACAUGCCCCCAGUAGAUAAAUAAAUGUCAUGUGAAAAGAUUUAAAUGACUGUUGAGGGGUGACUCACCGGCUCAGCAGGUAAAGGCACUUGCUUCACAGGCAUGGUGACCGGAGUGUCACCCCCAGAGCCACGUAAGGUGGAGGGGAGAACAAGCUCCAAGUUCAUACAUUGCCCUUUCACCUCCACACUCAAGCCAUGACACACUCCCACCUCAU